rnacentral:rRNA from 1 species
UUGAAAUUUAAAGAAUUUGGCGGUGUUUAAGUCUGUUUAGAGGAACCUGUACUGUAAUCGAUAUGCCACGUAGAAUUUUACUUUAUGUUGUAUUCAGUAUGUAUAUCGCCAUUAUAAAUAAUUUCUUGAGAAAUUUAUUGAGAUAGAUAAAGGAUCUAUGAUCUUAGGUCAAGGUGCAGCUAAUAAUAAAGUAGUUAUGGGUUACAAUAUAUUAUAUAUAGAUGGAUAUAUGUCUGAAAUGGUAUAUUGAAGGUGGAUUUAAUUGUAUUUCUUUUUUAUUAAGUUAGAUUGAUAAUAGCUCUUAGAUAUGUACAUAUCGCCCGUCGCAAA